GGGUACGAUCAUACCAGCAUUAAUGCAUCGGAUCCCAUCAGAAAUCUGUAGUUAAGUGCUCUUGAGCUAGAGUAGUACUGUGAUGGGUGACCUCUUGGGAAGUCCUAGUGUUGCACCCU
rnacentral:rRNA from 1 species